AGACCAUGGUGAGGGCAUUUCCUCAAUAGCUCCUUGAAUCUUUCCCAAUUUUCAUAUAAGGAUUCCUUGUCCUCUUAUGAAUAUGUAUUGAUUUCAGUCAUUAGUUU
rfam:Helianthus annuus linkage group 3, whole genome shotgun sequence.